rnacentral:rRNA from 1 species
UACGUAGGGUGCAAGCGUUAUCCGGAAUUAUUGGGCGUAAAGAGCUCGUGAGCGGUUUGUCACGUCUGCUGUGAAAACUGGAGGCUCAACCUCCAGCCUGCAGUGGGUACGGGCAGACUAGAGUGCGGUAGGGGAGAUUGGAAUUCCUGGUGUAGCGGUGGAAUGCGCAGAUAUCAGGAGGAACACCGAUGGCGAAGGCAGAUCUCUGGGCCGUAACUGACGCUGAGGAGACGGAAAGCAUGGGGAGCGAACAGG